AUUGAACGCUGGCGGCAGGCCUAACACAUGCAAGUCGAGCGGAUGAAGGGAGCUUGCUCCUGGAUUCAGCGGCGGACGGGUGAGUAAUGCCUAGGAAUCUGCCUGGUAGUGGGGGAUAACGUCCGGAAACGGGCGCUAAUACCGCAUACGUCCUGAGGGAGAAAGUGGGGGAUCUUCGGACCUCACGCUAUCAGAUGAGCCUAGGUCGGAUUAGCUAGUUGGUGGGGUAAAGGCCUACCAAGGCGACGAUCCGUAACUGGUCUGAGAGGAUGAUCAGUCACACUGGAACUGAGACACGGUGCCGACUCCUACGGGAGGCAGCAGUGGGGAAUAUUGGACAAUGGGCGCAAGCCUGAUCCAGCCCUGCCGCGUGUGUGAAGAAGGUCUUCGGAUUGUAAAGCACUUUAAGUUGGGAGGAAGGGCAGUAAGUUAAUACCUUGCUGUUUUGACGUUACCAACAGAAUAAGCACCGGCUAACUUCGUG
rnacentral:rRNA from 1 species